CAUCAGCCCAGAGCCUGACGCGGGGCUCGAACUCACAGACCACGAGAUCGUGACCUGGCUGAAGUCGGACGCUUAACCGACUGCGCCACCCAGGCGCCCCGAAAAAUUAUUUUCUUAAUGGAAGGAAUGACUCCUCACUUUUUGGCCCAUAUAUUCUGAGGGUUUCUUAAGGUGGUAUCAUGCAUGGAACGGACUACCCUUAACUACGUAAUUUUGUUUCUUUGAAGAUAAAAAGUUCUAAAGGAUACCGUACACAUAAAGUGUUAUUUCAGAGAGAACCCUGAAGAAGGGACUGUGAAUGGCAUGUGAAUAAGGUGGUUACUAAAUUUUUUUAAAUAAAAAGAGUGGUCGUGUACAGCUGGGAAAGAUAAGCACAAAUUCUAACUGUUGAUUACUUUUCAGGAUUCAUGGUACAGCUCUACACCCAGGUUCUCUGACAUGGGGCCUAGGAGUUUAUACCUCUGGCUGGCCUCACAAGCAAGUGAGAAAAAGCAGAGGAGGCUGGACUUCCUGUCUGGUGGUAUCAGACCUGUGGCUCAGCUUUUCAGAACACACUCUAAGAAUAUUCCUGAGACAAUGACAUUUCUGUUGCUUCUUCCGUAUGGAAGCUUGGGCACACACAUCUGCCUCUGACUCAGCCACAGAGACAGAUCCCAAGAUCUUCACAAAUUUUACCCUGCCAUGUGCCACUAGAGUAUGUUGCCUUUAUAAAAUGCAGUAAAAUUAGAAACUAAGUGACCCUUUCAUAAGAUUUCACUAAUGAGAUUUCAUACUUGAUAAGGCUGAAAACAAGCCAUGUCAAGAUGAACACAUUGACCAGUGAACUAAGUUCACUCCAUGGCUAAGAGUUUUUCCUAGCACACCAGCCUCACAGCAUGAUUCAUAUUCACGUCUCAGCAAUUCUAAAUGACACCAUGUCAUGGACCUUCAGAAUCAUUCUUGAAUCGUCAAUCCCGGAAUGUUAGACCUGCAACUGCCAAGCACCAACAGGAUUGUCAAUUCAGUUCAAUAAAAAAAUUGAGUUCCUAUAUACUAGACAUUAUGGGUAAAAAGAUACUGACUUACACAGGUCUUUACAAUACCAUGUAAUAUAAGCUAUUAUAAUAUUAUAUUAUAUUAUAUUAUAUUAUAUUAUAUUAUAUUAUAUUAUAUUAUAUUAUUAUAAUAAUAUUAGUGACCUGUGAUUUUUUUUUUUUAAGACAUAGAUCAGUAAAAUAGAAAACCACCACCCUCAUAAUUAGCUCACUUUGGUGUUCCCAUUAGGUCUUUGUUAUUUCCAUUAAGUCCAAGAACACGAUCUAUCAGUCUUCUGCCAUCCUAAAAUUCAAACUACUUCACUCUCCUUAUCUUCUAAUCCUCUCAUGUCUAAUUCUAUUGAAUGUGACGUGGUGAAGCUGCUCCUCCUACCAAGAGGUAAAGUCUAUUCCCCUCUCUUGAAUAUGGACUGACUUUCAACUUGCAUUGACAAACAGAAUGCAGCAGAAGUGAUGCUGUGCUAAUUCUGAACAUGACGAGUGACGCUGAGUGAAUUACAGGUCUCAGUAAAUCCAUCAGCUUCCACUUUUUGCUCUCUCGGAACAGUGCCCUGACCAUGUAAGUAAGCUGGUCUAGGCGGCUGGAGGAUAAGAAUCCACAUGGACUAUAACUGAGGCACCUUAGCUGACAGUUGCCACCAACUGCUGGACAUGAGUGAGGCUACCUGGGCUCUUCUAGCACUGCCAACUGCCCAGCUAUAAGAUCUCAGAGGAAUUUCCAUCUAAUCCACAGAAUCAUGAAAAUAAAUUAUGAUUUUAAGCAAUAGUUAACUGAUACAGAAAUUCUUUAUCAGGAGUAGGUUCUGUGUCAACAAAAGCCCAAAACACGUGGCUUUGGCUUUGACAUUUUAGACCAUAUACCUCUUUUUGCAUGGGGCUGUCGUAUGCAUUGUGGGAUGUUCAGCAGCAUCCUUGGUCUUUACCCACUAGAUGCCAGCACAUCCAUCUCCCCCACCAUUGUAACAUUUAACAAUGUGUCCAGACAUUGCUGAGUGUUGCCUGGGGAGUUUUCCUGCUGAAAACUGCUGUUGUAGAGAACUACUGAUACUUGUUUACAAGUAGACAUACACAACGUUGUUUAUAGUAGCAAAGAACUGGGGGAAACCUGAGUGUCCAUUCAUAAGAAGGUAGCUAAAUAAGCAAGCUUCAUAAUUUGGAAUUACAUUCAGUAUUUUGAAAUAAUGAGAGAAAUCUCUUUACUACUUAACACUGGUAGAUCUCCAAGAUACCACUAAACGACCACCACCAAAAAAAGUAAACUGCAAAAAGGCAUCAUACCUUUUACAUUAACAUGAACAUACAUAAAACAAUAGUUUAUAUAGGGUCUUAUCGGUAUGUAUAAUAAAUCACAUAAAGAGUUUGGAAAGACAUACACACAUGCAUGUGCAGAGGACUAUCCUUGUGGGAAGAGCAAGCAAGGAGGGAGAGGGGACAGGCAUGGAUGGUGGCAGUCAAAAGGCACUUUUAGUCUCAUCGGCAGUGUUUCAAUGUUUUACAAAAAGAACAAACACAUUCAUGCAUUGUGCAAUUAAAUGUGAAUUCAUCAGGCACAGGACUAACAAAAUGGCUUUGAAAAAUGUUACUAUUUAUUGACCUCUGAAGGGGAGAAGUCAUAAUAAAUAUAUAUUGAAGAAGAGGUAUCAAUGGGAAGAUAGAGCUGGCUGAUUGCCCAGAGUCUUACAGGACAGCACGAACUUGGUGAAAUUACCACAGUUAAAGACUGUGUCAAAGUCCAAGUUACAAAUCUGGCAAUUCUAGAUACUAACGUUUCUCAAUACUCCUAAAGGGAACCAAAUUCUCUAUGACAGGAUGACACUAAUUACAAUCACAAGACUCAUGUAUAAGCCAGAAUGUCAAUGAACUAAUUUACAGUGGAGGCUAGCCCUUUCCAGUGACCAGAAUAUUUGUGCCAGGUACUAUGCUAAGAACUUAAAACACAUUAUUUAUAUUCCUCAUAAUGGUCCCAAGAGAUAGAUGCUAUUAUUCUCCAUUUAAAAGAUGAGGAAGCAGGCCUAAAUUAAGCAUCUCUUCUAAGGGCAUAGUACAACUCCAAACCUGUGCCCUUAGCCACUAUAUUAAUAAAUGUUUUGGACCUUUGUUUGGAGCAGUUUUUCAUUUGUAAUUUAGCACUUAUUUCAUAUGGUUAUUGUAUUGAAAGCAAACACAUGUAAAGGACUUAGUUCCCUUCUCCUUUGACAAAUAACCUUACCUAUAUUCUUCAUCAUUUAGAAGGAUACCAAAAACUCCUGAAUGUAGUAAUGAAAUGAAUUAAAAAUACUACGAAUUAGUCAAACAAUGUAUUAGGCCAAUUUUAAAGCCCUUAGGUGUAAAAUAUAAAAUACCAGAUAUAUAUUAUUUCUUCUGCAUUAUUUUUUAAUGUGAAUAGAGUAUUUGCUAAUUCAUUCAUUCACUCAUUCCAAAAAUACUAUUUAUUUGUAACAGGUGACACAAUGUUAAGACCUGGUUAUAUGUUAUAAUGAAUAAAACAAUUUUAGUUUCUGUA